CAUACAGACAUCUUGUUGCAGGAUCUGACAGAGUAUUGUGAAUAGUGAAUAAAAGAAUAGUAAGAAACAAACUUCCAUGGAAAAGAAAAGAAUAUUGGCCAAGAUAUAAAAACAUAAUUUUCUACUACAUACAUUUCAAAAUGUAUGAAAUAUAUAACUAAGGUGCUGUUAUUUCUUAGCAAUAGAAAUAACAGUGGAUGAGAAAUCUGGGAGACAAACAACGGAUAGGAAUGUGGGGCUGGGAAAUGCUCUGAUUAAAUUAAUUUCAGUUAGAAAGAAGCUUAAGGCUUUUAAUCAUACUUUUAAAAAUGAUGGUUCAAACCUGAAUGAGUCAGAUCUGCAGUUUUAGUUGCAAAGCUGAAUGUGAAAACUAAUGCCAGGAAUUGCAUGAUUAGUUUAGUUUUGGGAGAAGCUCUGGAUCUCAAGAGUUGGCCCUAAUGCUGUUGUUACCAUGUGCUGUCUCUCUACUCUUACCAAAAUGAGUGCUUUUCUACCCUCAGAUCACAGCUGUCACUCAUUGCUUUGAUCCAAGAUUUUUCAAAGAGUAGGGGAAAUUUUAUUAUUUGACUCCAGGGCUUGGAUUCCAACAGGGAGAGAUACAAAGACAAUAAGGAGAAUUUGGAUAUAUAGCAUUAAUGCAAUCUGAUAACUGAGCUGUCUGAUCAAACAUUAUCAGUUUAAUGAUAUCUUCCAUUGAAUUUAUAUUCAUGUUUUGAGGAGUACAUUUGGUGUAGUGUUACAGAAUUUCAUUGUAAAGUUUGAUCUAAAACAAUCUGUAUUAAUGUGGAAAAACUAAGUUCUGGAAUAAUGUUUUUCCUCUGGAAUUUCUCAACAAAUGGUGGGAACUUUCACAUCAGUGGGGUUUAUUGCCAAACAUCAGAGUCACCUUAUGUUUAAGGAAUAUGAGAAAUUUUGCCCGAAGUUCUGAAUCUGUCACCUGGAUGUUUGCACUGUUAACUUGAAAGAUAAACUUGAGAGACUAAACCUGGGAGCUUUCUCAAGAGUAACUUGAUACCUGUAUAGAAGAUUCAGGUUAAUCUCUGGUAUAUCACUGAAAUUAACUUCACUGUAAUUAUUUUCAUUGGCAGGCCCCAAGUUGAGAUACACUAAUCAAGUGUCAUGAAGCUGCUGGGUGAAUAUCCUCAGGCAAAAGUAAAAAUGCUUUUCAUUUGCUCUAGGGACUCUUAUCAGUUUUCAUAAAUGCCAGUUGUCUGAAUAAAUGAAGAAGUGUCUCAGCUCUAUGGACA
rnacentral:lncRNA from 1 species